rnacentral:tRNA from 1 species
GGAGUUGGUAGCUUAGUGAUAGAGUGCAUGCUUUGUGUGUAUGACGUCCUGGCUUCAAUCCCCAGCUUCUCCC